rnacentral:lncRNA from 1 species
AUGCAUGUGGACUUCUGAAUGGAGAGGAGAAAAUCAGACAAUUCAGAGCUGCAAAAGGAGCAAAAAUGAUUAAACAGGUGGUUUCUUCAGUUUUUUUUUUUCCCUUCUUUUCUCUCCUUUCCCAAGUGCAUGUGAAUUUGGCAAUGCAGGUCUCCUAUCAGCAGCCCAGAUCCUGAAUACCUGUACCAAUCAAUGUGCACUUCAGAGGUCAGAGCCCUGACGCUAGAGUUGAAACUAAAUUUGCCCUCUUCGAAUGGACCACAGAUUCUUCCAAGGUCAGAAAUGGGAUGCUGUCAGCGUGCAGGGCUCCAUAUCUCUUCAUUCGCAAUUAAAAUUUGGAUGAGCGAUGGUCUAGAAGUUGUUCAUGCUUGGAUACGUUUGAGCUGAAAUAAGCAAAGUGAUGGACCACUGGAUGAGCAUUGGGUAAGGGUACCCUUGCUGAGUGGGUGCUGAUUCUGUGUUUUGAGUCCGUUGCAGAAUUUAUGUUCUGAUGAGAGGUGAUUCCAUGACAUGAGAAUCACCAUAGAAGCUUAAUUCCAAAGAGUCCUUUCCUCAUUUAUGUAUCUUGUUCUUCUGUUGGAGAAAAGCAUUUCAAAUGUUUGG